AUUGAACGCUGGCGGCAUGCCUUACACAUGCAAGUCGGACGGCAGCGCGGGGGCAACCCCGGCGGCGAGUGGCGAACGGGUGAGUAAUACAUCGGAACGUGUCCUGGAGUGGGGGAUAGCCCGGCGAAAGCCGGAUUAAUACCGCAUACGCUCUAUGGAGGAAAGCGGGGGACCGAAAGGCCUCGCGCUCAAGGAGCGGCCGAUGGCGGAUUAGCUAGUUGGUGGGGUAAAGGCCCACCAAGGCGACGAUCCGUAGCUGGUCUGAGAGGACGACCAGCCACACUGGGACUGAGACACGGCCCAGACUCCUACGGGAGGCAGCAGUGGGGAAUUUUGGACAAUGGGGGCAACCCUGAUCCAGCAAUGCCGCGUGUGUGAAGAAGGCCUUCGGGUUGUAAAGCACUUUUGUCCGGAAAGAAAACUUCGUCCCUAAUAUGGAUGGAGGAUGACGGUACCGGAAGAAUAAGCACCGGCUAACUACGUGCCAGCAGCCGCCGUAAAAC
rnacentral:rRNA from 1 species